rnacentral:rRNA from 1 species
GACGAACGCUGGCGGCGGGCUUGAUACAUGCAAGUCGAACGAGAAGCUCUGGGCUUGCCCAGAGUGGAGAGUGGCGCACGGGUGAGUAACACGUAGGCAACCUACCCCUGAGAGUGGGAUAACCAUGGGAAACUGUGGCUAAUACCGCAUAUUGUCUUAGCAUCGCAUGAUGCUUGGAUGAAAACUCCGGUGCUCAGGGAUGGGCCUGCGGCGGAUUAGCUAGUUGGUAGGGUAACGGCCUACCAAGGCUACGAUCUGUAGCUGGUCUGAGAGGAUGAUCAGCCACACUGGCACUGAGACACGGGCCAG